rnacentral:rRNA from 1 species
GACGAACGCUGGCGGCGUGCUUAACACAUGCAAGUCGAACGGAAAGGCCCUGCUUUUGUGGGGUGCUCGAGUGGCGAACGGGUGAGUAACACGUGAGUAACCUGCCCUUGACUUUGGGAUAACUUCAGGAAACUGGGGCUAAUACCGGAUAGGAGCUCCUGCUCCAUGGUGGGGGUUGGAAAGUUUCGGCGGUUGGGGAUGGACUCGCGGCUUAUCAGCUUGUUGGUGGGGUAGUGGCUUACCAAGGCUUUGACGGGUAGCCGGCCUGAGAGGGUGACCGGCCACAUUGGGACUGAGAUACGGCCCAGACUCCUACGGGAGGCAGCAGUGGGGAAUAUUGCACAAUGGGCGGAAGCCUGAUGCAGCAACGCCGCGUGCGGGAUGAUGGCCUUCGGGUUGUAAACCGCUUUCGCCUGUGACGAAGCGUGAGUGACGGUAAUGGGUAAAGAAGCACCGGCUAACUACGUG